AGUAAUUAGUUCAAUAAUGGUAGAACAUUUCAUUUACAAUGAAAAGGUUAUUGGUUCGAGUCCAGAUAUUACUUC
rnacentral:tRNA from 1 species